CUCUGUAUAUCAUAAUGAUCAGAAAGGAAGACCUCCUUAGAGCCAUGAAACUGCCGGCGGCCGCCGAUCGACUCCUCCGGGCGGUAAUACCAUCGUAUGUAGACCCUGACGUUGGCACCACGGCUGUCGGAUUCGAUCCGCUCGAUCCUGGCGACGUAGGAAGGCUUGGAUGGAUCGGAAGGGCGCAUAAAGACACAAGCUUUAAUGGUUUUGUUGAUGUGCUUGAGUGUGUAGGAGUCUAGAGUGCGUCUGGGUGCCUUUGGCUUGGCCAUGGAAUGAAAGUGGAAGUGGAAGUGGAAGUGGAAGUGGUGUAUGUUGGUUGUCUGUCCAGGAUUACAAAUACAACUCGCACGAAGACAAGAGAGAGAUUGUG
rnacentral:misc_RNA from 1 species